UGCUCAGGACUGUGAGAGAAUGCCUGCAGCAGAAACCACAGCAGUUUGAUCGGAUCGUGUUCUGUGUGUUCCUGCAGUCUGAUGAGCUGAUUUAUAAAACAAAGCUUCCCAAAUACUUUCCAGGAACUCCACAGAAGAGCAAGCUGUGAGGAUCAACUGAAACAAACACAGGAUCUGCAGAGACUGCCUCCCAGAAAAUACUAACGCCCUCGCCCUGAACCCUGAACCCCGACAGCCCCCUACGUGUGUCAACAGCAAGCGUCUCCACUAGAAGUCUUUCUCAGUGUCUUCAGCGUCAAUUCAAUACAAGCGUUUCCACUAGAAGUCUUUCUCAGUGUCUUCAGUGUCAAUUCAAUGGCAAGCGUUUCCACUAGAUGUCUUUCUCAGACCUGUUCAUGUUUCCAGGCCGCUGUGUGUGUUUCCAGCUCUCUGUGUCUCUCAUGUUGUAACACUAACAUGUUUUUCGAGUUCAUUAAAGACUGAGGUGAAUGUUUUGAAAAGCCUGGCCAGGCCUGCAAUGCAUUCUGGAACCAUCGCCCAUCUUCAACCCUCUCCCACUGCAAUACUAGAAUACAAACACGCUGCAAUACACUGACAGCUCUCCCGUCUACAACCCUCUCCCACUGCAAUACUAGAAUACAAACACGCUGCAAUACACUGACAGCUCUCCCGUCUACAACCCUCUCCCACUGCAAUACUAGAAUACAAACACGCUGCAAUACACUGACAGCUCUCCCGUCUACAACCCUCUCCCACUGCAAUACUAGAAUACAAACACGCUGCAAUACACUGACAGCUCUCCCGUCUACAACCCUCUCCCACUGCAAUACUAGAAUACAAACACGCUGCAAUACACUGACAGCUCUCCCAUCUACAGAACAGCUGUCUAUAUGAGAGAGAUGGACAGAGUGUGAGAGAGAGAGAGAGGGAGAGGGAGAGGGAGUAACCUCAGUCCCUCAUGACUCCUUGUUUAGCUGCUGUGCUCGGACUGAAAUGUUAAUUAAACUGUGAGAUUAGCUAACGAGUUCAACUCUGCGCUGAGCUAAUUGGAGACACAGAGACACCCAGCUCUCCCGGGACACCCUGCACACACAUCCCCCGUCUCUCAGUACCCUUCCUCACAGCACAGUGUGAUACAACACAGUGACAUUACAGCGGUGUGGUACAGCACAGUGUGAUACAGCACAGUGUCAGCAUGGGAAUGC